UAAUGCCAUUUGGUAUCUGACUCAUGGUCUCUUUAUGUGACUUUGUGUCUCGAAAUAUGGCAUAUAGCAAGGGGGAACGGAUCUUGCGACACUGGUAGCUUCUUGAUAAGCCUCCAGUUACUAUAUAGCCGUUCACAUGU
rfam:Oryza brachyantha chromosome 11, whole genome shotgun sequence.